rnacentral:lncRNA from 1 species
ACUGCAACAAAAAGAAUGAAUAUUAUGCGACAUAAGCUUGAAGGUACGAUUUUAUUCAUUGAACAAAAACAUGAAAUACUGCAAGCCCUGCAAACGGUGGACAAAGGUGGUGAAUGUAUUAUACGGUUCUUCCUUUUCGAGGUCACCUAUCGCUCGUGCCACACCACCUGCCGGUUAAUACAGCCGAGCUUACCACCGUACUCAUUUGAUCUUAAUGUUUAUUUUGUAACGGAAGAUAAUGAUUCCCAUAUACAGCAUGAUGUAACAUUAAUAGCGCUCCUUUGUGAAAACGAGAUGUUAAAUGGAAAUUGUGCAUCAAACCGAUAACUGCACAAAGAACAAUAUUUUAUUCAAUACUGAAAAAACUCUUUCAUAUUAGUUCCUGUGAAUAAUGUGACAUCAUAAUAUGAGAAAUUACAUUGAUUCCUUUAUUGCAAUUGUUUGAAAGUAGACACAAUUCAGAUAUAGUAGAAAUAUAGCGAAAUAGAAUAAUAUAGGUAUUAUUUGACUAAUAAAAUGAGGUCAUCUGAUUCGUAAUAAUCCCGAGACCAAGCCACAUGCAACUGCCUGCCAUGGGUCACGUUAACGCGAGGUACCCGACGGCCAGGUGUUCCACAACGUACGCCGAUUUUGUGUGUCGUCAUGGCCGACAGACACCCCAAGUCCUGUGUUUGGCACAUGACUGGCGGCAAUACGUUUUGCCCCGUUUAUGUAGGUCAAGCUAUGCACGGGAUUAUAACAUUCAGGGCCGUAACAGUCAAAAGAACCGUCAGUUAUUUUGUUACAGCAGAGAAUUGCUAAACCGUAUCAAUUAAGAUAUCUUAUGUUACAUUUCCUAUUUGCCACCAAGUUUUACACAAAUUUAUAUGAAAAAUUGUAACUUAAUGUUAAAGCUUAUUACAUGUUUAACUUUGUGCCAAAAACUAAUUUGUGAUAAGUCUUUUUAAACGUAGUAUAAUAUAGUAUAAAAAGUAUGAUUUAAACAACCAGUUUUCUAAAUCGUAUUUUAAACCUCGUUCUUUAAAAAUAGUAAAUUUGCAAAUAAAAAUAAUAAGAAGAAAUAUGGUUUAGAAAAGGAAUUAUUUAAUAAUACAUAUUUUAUAUUAAUAAAAAAUUGGAAAAGAUACCCAAUAUUACAACAAACGUGAUAAGCAUGAGUUCUCAUUCAUUUCACAUAUCUAAUGUUAAAUCUCGCUGAAACUCAUUGUCAGUAACAAUAACACAUUAAUGAGGUACAAUUGAGGUAUACAGUACAUACUUAGCAACUAUACAUACAUUAGACCGGUGCAUAAGUUCCUGCCGAUGGGGCGAUGAAUGGAUCACUUCAAUCGAUGACUCCUUCUUUCGAUGUGAUUCGCAAAUUGCUGAAAAAUAAGAAAAAGUAGAAAACGAUGGAAAAUACUUUCAUUGAUUUAUGAUCGAUUGUUUCAUUUCAAUGAAAAAAAAUUGCAAAAUCGAUAAGAACUUAUGCAACCUAAUGAUAUAGAAGAGUCAAUUAAUAAGUGAAGAGACAAACGGUUAUAGUUUCAAAACAGUUUAUUCAAUCACUGUAACAAUUUAGCUACUUCUUAACAUAAUCUCCUUCAACAGUUAUACAAUACAUUUAUCAUGUAAAACUUUGAAACUACCAAACUAUAAAUAGUUUGCAUCAAAGACGAGUUAUGACGAGGAGAUGUAAAUCAUUAUUAAUGUCGAUUAAUCGUGCUCGCUAAUGGUGAUAAUAGUGCAAAGAUGUUCCGAUGUGAGGAAAGAACUUUACGAAUUUUAUCUCCGUGGGCACGAGCCUGACAUAACGAAAUGCGGUUUAUUCAAGCAGGUGUGGCGAGUAACGAAGCACCCGCUGCCGAAACAGCCAAACCACCUGUCCAUUUUUAUCAAACAUAUUAUACACAUUACAUUCACACUUCGGGGCAGCAUGACCGCUGCUCCACGUGCAGGAAGACAGCAAGUAGCUCACGUGCUUGAAAAGCUGAGACCGGUGUGUCUUUGAACAUCUUCCACUUACUGGCGUAACGGUGCGACCCCUUUUGCAAGGUCUUUCUACCUUCUGCGUUGCGACUUGUCAAGGUAAAGUAAAGAAGAGAAAUCGUCCUUCGUAUUUGAAGUGAACCGAUGGACCCAUUGAUGGUUUUAUAUAGGCGAUGAACGACCCUUUUAUCGAGCAGGUGUUGCCUUCUUCCGAUAAUCGCAGGUUUAACAGCUACACACGAUGACAAAGGGGUACGCUUUAAAACGUGAUUAUUGCGUUCAUUGUGAGAAAAGUUACCUGCUACGGCUUCUACAGGCUACAUGGUAAAGCGUUUUAAGAACCCUGCUAUUGUCGAAGCUUUCUGGGCCCGAGAUAGGCCAUCGUCGACAUGUUUGUCCGUGCGUGCUAACCGGCAUCCAGCGUGCAUGACACUGACACCCCGAUCGUUUAAUUUAAUUAGCUGCCGACAAAUAUGUUCAUUAACAUGAAACUAUCAACGGUUAAAAAUUGUAAUAUUAAUUGCAGUCUCGCUAUGUGACCUUUCUGAUACCAUCGUCAAUGAAACUGUGUCAAGGUUCUCUCUAAUAUAUUUAUUAUUACAUAUUCAUGUCAUCAAGAUUGUUGCACGCGAUGUCGAGACAAUAAUCAAAUUUUAAUGCUCGAAGUAUGUAUUUUGGCUGUACUGAUCUCAUUAGAAUGAGGGACAAAACGCAUCCAGCUGUGAAUCCAUCUUUGCAAUUUUAUUUUGUAAUUUAAGUUUAGUGACGAAUUGUACAUAGAUAUGAGCGUCCUUUUCAUUUCCAAUUUUUUAUUUCGAAUAUAUGCUGUUUUUUUAGAUAAAAGUAGAACACAGACAAACUAAGGAUAAUAGAAGAUAUCUUUAGUUAACCCCGGACUACCGGACUACCGGAAAUUGGAUAUUGACCUCGCUUGACAUCGAUCUCUAUUUCGCGACGUCCUGCUGAAUGAUACGAUGAGUAAUAUGAUGAAUGACUAAGAUUUCUUCUUCCUACUUCCACUGCUCUAUGAGUGAUUUCAUCGCAGCGAUCUAUUAUAUAGUUGAUAAUUGAAUCUCAUACAACAUAUCCGAUUGCAUUAUGAAAGAAUUUAUAAAUAAUUUGUAAUAUUUAAUCUAAUGCAAUAAAAAUAAACUACACCUGGGUCUCUUUUUAUACGGUGGAUGCUCUUAAUUUCCUUUGGAAUCAUGCAGUUCAUUCAACAUUGGGAUUAUUUGCAAUGAUUUUCGUGACAUUUUCCACGAACCGUGUAAAAGUAAGUAAAACGUAUCAAAAAAACGUGUAAAUGCAAAUAAAACGUGUUACAAAAACAGUGUAACUGUGAAUUGUGUAAAAAAAGGAGAGAUGAUGAAAAAGUGCAAAAUGUCCUAUACGUUGCUGUUGAUCCUCACGGUGUUUUCUCUCUCUGAUUGGUUGGCCGCCAUGUAACAUUCGUCAUGUAGUUAUUCAAAUUUGGUAUUCAGUUGGUAUUAAGUUGAAAUGAGUCGCUGUAUAAAUUAAAUAAAUAUUGUCCAUUAUAGAAUAAAGGUCUAGUUAAAUUAAUUGUGGAAUCAGGAUUAAUCGAAACGCAAGAGUACAAAUAACUUACAUGGAACAGGAAAGGAGGUAAAAAUAAAGAAAGAAAUUAUAUAAUUAUAUAAUUAUUUAUUAUAUAUUAUUUCUUUAUUUAUUUUAACCUCCUUUCCUAUUCCAUCCCAAUAUAAAAAUAUCUCGAUAUGAUUGUGCGUUCAUAAUUAGAUUCGUCAAGUUUCAACAAGAUACCAUAAAAGUAAGUUGUAUCAAUUAAAUGCUGUAGUAGUUCCUUACGACUUACAAGGACGCGUGAGGUCAGUAUGCGUGGGUUGUUGCACCGGGUAGGAUGUCGGAUCGAUACAGCUUGCACCGGGGUACACAACCCAGCUAGCAACGACCCGCCAUCGCGUCCCACCUCCUUAUCCAUAGCAACAGACAGCUAUUUACGCGUGUCGAGUUAAACCGUCACACGUGUGACAUUUUCCGAUUAAAUAGUGGCCGCGUGAUUAGCACAGUCCACCCCAUAUUCUCAGAAAAACGCUUGAAAGAUUUACGACAGCCGGCAUGUAAAUUGUGAAUUGAAUUGAAUACAUCUUCCAAUUAUUACAAAAACUUUUCAAACACCUGCUUGCAUAAAAAUCUAGAAAGACAUAAGUAUCCAAGUUCUUAUUUCCACAUUAAAAAAAUCUAUUAAAAUAAUCUAUAUAUAAAAAAAUCAGACCUUGCACAGAUACGUCAUGAAUAAUAAGAAAAAAUGUUUUUCCUAUAAUAAAGAGUUUCGAAAAAAGAAGUGCAGAACAACAAAAGCACAGCGGCAAAUGGCAUUUCAUUAAUUAAACUGUAACCGCGACGAGACAGUUAAAUCUUCAACUAUUCGGAAAUCUCCACUAGAUGGAACAGCGAUUUGACCUUUCGGGAAACUUGGUUAACUGGAGUCAGGUUGGAAGUGGGUGUCAUUGUGGAUGGAAACGCAAGUCACAACCGAGAAAUUAGUUGAGGAUCAAAGGAAUCAGAAUGUACUCCAGCACUUUCAAGAGAGAAGUUUUGCGAAAAAUAAUGUCAAAUAUUUCUUCUUUAGCUGAAACAUAACGCAGCAUUUUAUCGUAACAUUUUGAUAUCAAACAUCUUUAACGAUUAGGCUUAUGCGGGAUAUAAGAAGAUGACGGAAAGAAAAAAGAGAACGAAAAUAAAACGAGUCAGAAUCGACCUUGACUUGAGGACCAAAGUUUACCAAGAGGGUGGCGAGAUCCUUAAUGGUAUACGGGUAGGGGGGAAGCUAAGAUAACGCGAAUGCGUAUCAGAGGGAGGGGUCAUUUUCACAGCUAGUGACCUCUAAAUUUCCCAAGAGCGCACACGUGUCUACGGUAUCUUCCCCCGCGCCUAUUUCUUCUCAAGGACGAAGCAUUCGCUAUCCUAACUAUAAUCAUUUUACGAACAAAUCUCGAGAUUGAAAUCAGAAAAUUAUUGGCAUGAGAAAGAGGACGGAUUAUCUAACCUUUGCAAUCUUUACCCUUGCUGAUUUAUGAACUAUUUGAACAAAAGAUGUAAUUGAUUAUAAACUUUAAAUAUAGUUUACAAUGAAACAAUGCAACUUAUAAAUAUUAUAAAUAUAAAAUUAUAUAACUUA